rnacentral:rRNA from 1 species
GCCUGCCCAGUGACUGCUUGUUUAACGGCCGCGGUACUCUGACCGUGCGAAGGUAGCGUAAUCACUUGUCUUUUAAAUAAAGACUAGUAUGAAUGGCAUCACGAGAACUAAUCUGUCUCCCUCCCCCAAUCAGUGAAACUGAUCUCCCCGUGCAGAAGCGGGGAUAAUACCAUAAGACGAGAAGACCCUGUGGAGCUUUAAAUCAAAAAUCAACUGCUACACCUCACCCCUCGAGGACACACUCCUGUAGAUUUGACUUAGGUUUUUAGCUGGGGCGGCUGUGGAGAAAAAAAAAUCCUCCACGAAACUAUUCCAAGGGCUACAGCCCUAAGUAAUAAUAAAUUAAUUUAAUUUGACCCAAUUUUUGAUCAACGAACCAAGUUACCCCAGGGAUAACAGCGCAAUCCACUUUUAGAGUCCAUAUCGACAAGUGGGCUUACGACCUCGAUGUUGGAUCAGGGCACCCAAGUGGUGCAGCCGCUACUAAAGGUUCGUUUGUUCAACGAUUAAAGCCCUACGUGA